rnacentral:misc_RNA from 1 species
GGNNNAUGCCANUUCNAGNNGCGNAANUGCNGUUGCGGCUGUCUGCAUGGNGNAGANAGCGACAANACUGGNNGUGUGCGACACACAGUGGAGUNACUNUACUACUAUUCUNUCGUUCGUUGGGGGCACGCUCUCUUUCGGGGGGGAGUUCUCCCAGUGGAUGCAAACACAAACAAAUAUUNUNNUUANACUNAUUCAGUCAACACAAGAUUUCUUUUAGUAGAAAACAACUUCAANACUCUUCAACAAUGGAUCUCUUGGUUCUCGCAUCGAUGAAGAACGCAGCGAAAUGCGAUACGUAAUGUGAAUUGCAGAAUUCCGUGAAUCAUCGAAUCUUUGAACGCACAUUGCGCCCUCUGGUAUUCCGGGGGGCAUGCCUGUUUGAGCGUCAUUUCCUUCUCAAACACGUUGUGUUUGGUAGUGAGUGAUACUCUCGUUUAUUGAGUUAACUUGCAAAUUGUAGGCCAUAUCAGUAUGUGGNGANNCGAGCGCAAGCUUCUCUAUUAAUCUGCUGCUCGUUUGCGCGNAGCGGCGGGGGUUAAUACUGUAUUAGGUUUUACCAACUCGGUGUUGAUCUAGGGAGGGAUAUGUGAGUGUUUUGUGCGUGCUGGAGCAGACNCACGUCUUUA